rnacentral:lncRNA from 1 species
UCCUGUAUCUUAGUUUUGCUUAGGUUUCUGAAUUCAUCCUAAUCUCAGUUACCAUCUCUAUCUUUGCUUUGCUUCACAGAAGAAGGAAUACUAUAGAGUGCGCUACUACCAGAUAACACAGAGUCACUGAACAGAACAAAAUGUUCAUAACUAGAACUCUAGAAAUGCGAGUGACAUUGAGGAAAACCUGUGCAAUUAUCCAACUGUACUUACACCGAUAAGGGAGGUCAUUCUGGAUCACAGGGAGGUGGGUGGACUAACACAGAGCUCACUGCUGAACUACUGAACUUGGGUGGAUCAGAAACAGAAUUGAAGCUAUUUUAUCUGGACCUAAUUAAACAACCUUCAUUACUGGCAGGUAUGUGUUUGUGAUGACUAGAAAUUAGCUUGAUUGGAAUUAAACCUCAAAAUAUAAGGCAUUGAA